rnacentral:rRNA from 1 species
UACGGAGGGUGCAAGCGUUAUCCGGAUUCACUGGGUUUAAAGGGUGCGUAGGUGGGAAUGUAAGUCAGUGGUGAAAUCUCUGGGCUUAACCCAGAAAUUGCCAUUGAUACUGUAGGGCUUGAGUACAGUUGCUGUGGGCGGAAUAUGACAUGUAGUGGUGAAAUACAUAGAGAUGUCAUAGAACACCGAUUGCGAAGGCAGCUCACAAAACUGUAACUGACACUGAGGCUCGAAAGUGCGGGGAUCAAACAGG